CUAGGUCUAAAAUGGAAGAAGAGAAGAUCCUAUGCUAAAGAGAGAUGUCUCUUUAUUUAUACAAAGAAGAAGCUAGAGCUUCAUAGUAAAAUGAGCAUAAUUUAUUGUCUAAUGGGUCUUGAGAUAGGAUGUAGAUCCACCCCAACAAUCUUGAUAUAUAGGAACGGAAAGGCGUUACAGGAAGAGGAAUCGCGACAACAUCGAAGAUCGGUUCAUAAUGAUGGAGUAAUAACAAAAGGGGAAGAGGAAGAGCCCUCGAUUGAAAGAUCUAGCGAAAGACGGCAACCCUAUCGACCCCCGACGAACACACCCAGCGUCUCAUGAAAGUGAAGGCCCAGCAAAGCUCACGCCUUUAAAAACGAAACCCACUCGACAGAAGAAAAAAAAAAAAACUAAAGGCUGGGCCCCACAAAUAUGAUGAAACUGUCUUAUUAUAAUGUAGAUUGUUAUCUAUACUAAAUUACUAAUUAACGAUUUUUUACAUUAAUCUAAUUAAAUUUUAUUUCCCCUACUAAUCAUCAAAAAGUUUUAUUGGGACAAUUGAAGAAAGGAAGCAAACUAAAACAUCAGCAUGGACGUGACGUCGUCCGGAAAAUGUAUAAUAUAAGUAGAAUUAGAGAUAAUUAUGGCAACUUUUAAUUGAGCCAAAUAAAAACAAGGAAAGUUUCCUUAAAUAACAUUUACACAGUGAAAACCAAAACAGGAAUUUGGAAAAUAGUAAAAGUAAAAUUGGGGUCCGAGAGUUCUAAAAUGGAAACAUAUAACCUUUCACGUGACACAAACUAUAUAUAUCAAGUCAUACCCUAAAGGCCUAAACACAACCAAGAAUUAAUAUUGGCUUCGAAAUCUCUGUAGUAAAAUAUCGGAAACAAAAACAGUAGUCGGAUAAUUUUAUUAGAAUUAGCAUUUUGCCACACGUAAUUACUUAGAAAUUAACAUUAUUGUCGCAUUGCAAGGCAAGUAACAUAGACACUGUAUGACACAUAUGUUGUCCGUUACACCAUGUAAGCCUCCUGCAAUCACAAUUUGGCAGACUAACUAAAUGUAUUAGUACCUGAUAAAAUUAUAUGCACAACCGAUAAUUUACUACCAACUGUAAAUAAAAAUUAAAAAAAAAAACUUUUUCUCUAAAUCUAAAAUUGUAAUAUUUAUAAAAAUACUUUUGAGUUUAAUAAAAACAUUAAAUAAAAUGACGAAAAUAGACCUUGCAGAGAGACAUGAUC
rnacentral:lncRNA from 1 species